UUUCCGUAGGUGAACCUGCGGAAGGAUCAUUAUUGUAUAACCGAGGUGCGAGGGCUGUCGCUGACCCGAAAGGUCGUGCACGCCCGAGUGCCCUCACACACAUCCAUCUCACCCCUAUGUGCACCACCGCGUGGGUCCCCCUUUGGCUUGUUCGGAGGGGGGCUUACGUUUUCACACAAACUUUGUAUGCAGUGUAGAAUGUAUUUUUUGUUUUUGCGAUCACGCAAUCAAUACAACUUUCAACAACGGAUCUCUUGGCUCUUGCAUCGAUGAAGAACGCGC
rnacentral:misc_RNA from 1 species